rnacentral:rRNA from 1 species
UACGGGGGGUGCGAGCGUUGUCCGGAAUCACUGGGCGUAAAGCGCACGUAGGCGGACUGUUAAGUCGGGGGUGAAAUCCUGGGGCUCAACCUCAGAAUUGCCUCCGAUACUGGCAGUCUCGAGUGCGGGAGAGGUGAGUGGAAUUCCCAGUGUAGAGGUGAAAUUCGUAGAUAUUGGGAAGAACACCAGUGGCGAAGGCGGCUCACUGGCCCGUAACUGACGCUGAGGUGCGAAAGCGUGGGGAGCAAACAGG